GGACUUUCCGAGUCGGUUCCAUAUAUUUUUGGUAUUGUAUAAAAGUUAAUAGUAUGGCGGGGGUUUGUCCCGACCUUAGCUAAAUUUUGUGUAUCGUCUAAAGGCUUUGUAGACCAAUGUAAAGUUUAGCAUGGUAGUGUGUUAUCUUGUAGAUGUUAUGGCCCCAACGGCCAAGUCUAUUAUGUAUAUAGUUUUAGGG
rnacentral:lncRNA from 1 species